rnacentral:rRNA from 1 species
GACGAACGCUGGCGGCGUGCCUAAUACAUGCAAGUAGAACGCUGAAGGAGGAGCUUGCUUCUCCGGAUGAGUUGCGAACGGGUGAGUAACGCGUAGGUAACCUGCCUGGUAGCGGGGGAUAACUAUUGGAAACGAUAGCUAAUACCGCAUAACAGUAGAUAUUGCAUGAUAUCUGCUUGAAAGGUGCAAUUGCAUCACUACCAGAUGGACCUGCGUUGUAUUAGCUAGUUGGUGGGGUAACGGCUCACCAAGGCGACGAUACAUAGCCGACCUGAGAGGGUGAUCGGCCACACUGGGACUGAGACACGGCCCAGACUCCUACGGGAGGCAGCAGUAGGGAAUCUUCGGCAAUGGACGGAAGCCUGACCGAGCAACGCCGCGUGAGUGAAGAAGGUUUUCGGAUCGUAAAGCUCUGUUGUAAGAGAAGAACGAGUGUGAGAGUGGAAAGUUCACACUGUGACGGUAUCUACCAGAAAGGAC